rnacentral:rRNA from 1 species
GACGAACGCUGGCGGCGUGCUUAACACAUGCAAGUCGAACGGUAAGGCCCCUUCGAGGGUACACGAGUGGCGAACGGGUGAGUAACACGUGGGUGAUCUGCCCUGCACUUCGGGAUAAGCCUGGGAAACUGGGUCUAAUACCGGAUAGGACCACGCUCUGCAUGGAGUGUGGUGGAAAGCUUUUGCGGUGUGGGAUGGGCCCGCGGCCUAUCAGCUUGUUGGUGGGGUGAUGGCCUACCAAGGCGACGACGGGUAGCCGGCCUGAGAGGGUGUCCGGCCACACUGGGACUGAGAUACGGCCCAGACUCCUACGGGAGGCAGCAGUGGGGAAUAUUGCACAAUGGGCGCAAGCCUGAUGCAGCGACGCCGCGUGGGGGAUGACGGCCUUCGGGUUGUAAACCUCUUUCAGUACCGACGAAGCGCAAGUGACGGUAGGUACAGAAGAAGCACCGGCCAACUACGUG